rnacentral:rRNA from 1 species
CAGCCGCCGCGGGAAUACGUAGGGUGCAAGCGUUAAUCGGAAUUACUGGGCGUAAAGCGUGCGCAGGCGGUUCCAUAAGACAGAUGUGAAAUCCCCGGGCUCAACCUGGGAACUGCAUUUGUGACUGUAGAGCUGGAGUACGGCAGAGGGGGGUGGAAUUCCGCGUGUAGCAGUGAAAUGCGUAGAUAUGCGGAGGAACACCGAUGGCGAAGGCAAUCCCCUGGACCUGUACUGACGCUCAUGCACGAAAGCGUGGGGAGCAAACAGGAUUAGAUACCCCAGUAGUCCCUGUCUCUUAUAC